rnacentral:misc_RNA from 1 species
AUUUGUUCAUUAAGCAAGCACAACAAUAUUCAAAGGGUAGGCCAAGUUACCCUCAAGAAUUAUUCAAUUUCAUUGCUUCUAAAACACCUUCUCAUGAUCUUGUUUGGGAUGUUGGUACUGGUAGUGGCCAGGCUGCUCAAUCUUUAGCUAAGCUUUACAAGAAUGUGAUAGCUACAGACACAAGUCCAAAGCAGCUUGAAUUUGCAGCAAAGGUUCCAAAUGUUCAAUACAUAUGUACCUCUCCUAAGUUGUCAAAAUCCGAAAUCGAAACAAAAAUAGGAUCAGAAUCAAGUGU